rnacentral:tRNA from 1 species
CGGGACGUAGCGCAGCUUGGUAGCGCACAAGGCUGGGGGUCUUGUGGUCGCAGGUUCAAAUCCUGUCGUCCCGACCA